rnacentral:rRNA from 1 species
GCGGUAAUUCCAGCUCUGUAAGCGUAUACCAAAGUUGUUGCAGUUAAAACGCUCGUAGUCGGAACUUGGCAGUUCCGGAUGUGUGCACGUCGUGUGCGCACUUUGCGGGGACUGCUUUUGUGGUCUUGCGUAGGAUGAGGCACUUUUAUUAGUGAACGUCCUCACGCAGCCACUCUUUACUGUGAGAAAAUCAGAGUGCUCAAAGCAGGCAUUUGCCGUGAAUGUAUUAGCAUGGAAUAAUAGAAUAGGACUUGGUUCUAUUUUGUUGGUUUGUUGGGACUGAGUAAUGAUUAAGAGGGACAGUUGGGGGCAUUUGUAUUUCGGCGCUAGAGGUGAAAUUCUCGGAUU